AGUGCAGUCCAAUUUACAGGCUGGAGCAGCAGCUGCAUCCUGCAUUUCCCCGAAGUAUUACAUGAUUUUCACUCCUUGCAAACUUUGCCAUCUUUGUUGCAGAGAAUCGGAAAUCAAUAUGCAUAGCAAAGUCACAAUCAUAUGCAUCAGAUUUCUCUUUUGGUUUCUUUUGCUCUGCAUGCUUAUUGGGAAGUCACAUACUGAAGAUGACAUCAUAAUUGCAACAAAGAAUGGAAAAGUCAGAGGGAUGAACUUGACAGUUUUUGGUGGCACGGUAACAGCCUUUCUUGGAAUUCCCUAUGCACAGCCACCUCUUGGUAGACUUCGAUUCAAAAAGCCACAGUCUCUGACCAAGUGGUCUGAUAUUUGGAAUGCCACAAAAUAUGCAAAUUCUUGCUGUCAGAACAUAGAUCAAAGUUUUCCAGGCUUCCAUGGAUCAGAGAUGUGGAACCCAAACACUGACCUCAGUGAAGACUGUUUAUAUCUAAAUGUAUGGAUUCCAGCACCUAAACCAAAAAAUGCCACUGUAUUGAUAUGGAUUUAUGGUGGUGGUUUUCAAACUGGAACAUCAUCUUUACAUGUUUAUGAUGGCAAGUUUCUGGCUCGGGUUGAAAGAGUUAUUGUAGUGUCAAUGAACUAUAGGGUGGGUGCCCUAGGAUUCUUAGCUUUGCCAGGAAAUCCUGAGGCUCCAGGGAACAUGGGUUUAUUUGAUCAACAGUUGGCUCUUCAGUGGGUUCAAAAAAAUAUAGCAGCCUUUGGUGGAAAUCCUAAAAGUGUAACUCUCUUUGGAGAAAGUGCAGGAGCAGCUUCAGUUAGCCUGCAUUUGCUUUCUCCUGGAAGCCAUUCAUUGUUCACCAGAGCCAUUCUGCAAAGUGGAUCCUUUAAUGCUCCUUGGGCGGUAACAUCUCUUUAUGAAGCUAGGAACAGAACGUUGAACUUAGCUAAAUUGACUGGUUGCUCUAGAGAGAAUGAGACUGAAAUAAUCAAGUGUCUUAGAAAUAAAGAUCCCCAAGAAAUUCUUCUGAAUGAAGCAUUUGUUGUCCCCUAUGGGACUCCUUUGUCAGUAAACUUUGGUCCGACCGUGGAUGGUGAUUUUCUCACUGACAUGCCAGACAUAUUACUUGAACUUGGACAAUUUAAAAAAACCCAGAUUUUGGUGGGUGUUAAUAAAGAUGAAGGGACAGCUUUUUUAGUCUAUGGUGCUCCUGGCUUCAGCAAAGAUAACAAUAGUAUCAUAACUAGAAAAGAAUUUCAGGAAGGUUUAAAAAUAUUUUUUCCAGGAGUGAGUGAGUUUGGAAAGGAAUCCAUCCUUUUUCAUUACACAGACUGGGUAGAUGAUCAGAGACCUGAAAACUACCGUGAGGCCUUGGGUGAUGUUGUUGGGGAUUAUAAUUUCAUAUGCCCUGCCUUGGAGUUCACCAAGAAGUUCUCAGAAUGGGGAAAUAAUGCCUUUUUCUACUAUUUUGAACACCGAUCCUCCAAACUUCCGUGGCCAGAAUGGAUGGGAGUGAUGCAUGGCUAUGAAAUUGAAUUUGUCUUUGGUUUACCUCUGGAAAGAAGAGAUAAUUACACAAAAGCCGAGGAAAUUUUGAGUAGAUCCAUAGUGAAACGGUGGGCAAAUUUUGCAAAAUAUGGGAAUCCAAAUGAGACUCAGAACAAUAGCACAAGCUGGCCUGUCUUCAAAAGCACUGAACAAAAAUAUCUAACCUUGAAUACAGAGUCAACAAGAAUAAUGACGAAACUACGUGCUCAACAAUGUCGAUUCUGGACAUCAUUUUUUCCAAAAGUCUUGGAAAUGACAGGCUGAGGAGUAGGAGGAGGGGAAAAGGAGCUGUUGGUCUCGCUGUCUCUGGAUUGACAGAGGUGGAAGAAAAUCCACAUGAAAUAUUGAUGAAGCAGAAUGGGAGUGGAAAGCAGGAUUCCAUCGCUGGAACAAUUACAUGAUGGACUGGAAAAAUCAAUUUAACGAUUACACUAGCAAGAAAGAAAGUUGUGUGGGUCUCUAAUUAAUAGAUUUACCCUUUAUAGAACAUAUUUUCCUUUAGAUCAAGGCAAAAAUAUCAGGAGCUUUUUUACACACCUACUAAAAAAGUUAUUAUGUAGCUGAAACAAAAAUGCCAGAAGGAUAAUAUUGAUUCCUCACAUCUUUAACUUAGUAUUUUACCUAGCAUUUCAAAACCCAAAUGGCUAGAACGUGUUUAAUUAAAUUUCACAAUAUAAAGUUCUACAGUUAAUUAUGUGCAUAUUAAAACAAUGGCCUGGUUCAAUUUCUUUCUUUCCUUAAUAAAUUUAAGUUUUUCCCCCCAAAAUUAUCAGUGCUCUGCUUUUAGUCACGUGUAUUUUCAUUACCACUCGUAAAAAGGUAUCUUUUUUAAAUGAAUUAAAUAUUGAAACACUGUACACCAUAGUUUACAAUAUUAUGUUUCCUAAUUAAAAUAAGAAUUGAAUGUCAAUAUGAGAUAUUAAAAUAAGCACAGAAAAUCA